UACGAAGGGGACUAGCGUUGUUCGGAAUCACUGGGCGUAAAGCGCACGUAGGCGGAUCGUUAAGUCGGGGGGUGAAAUCCUGGAGCUCAACUCCAGAACUGCCUUCGAUACUGGCGAUCUCGAGUCCGGAAGAGGUGAGUGGAACUCCUAGUGUAGAGGUGGAAUUCGUAGAUAUUAGGAAGAACACCAGUGGCGAAGGCGGCUCACUGGUCCGGUACUGACGCUGAGGUGCGAAAGCGUGGGGAGCAAACAGG
rnacentral:rRNA from 1 species